GGACCUGCGGUUGGAUUCACUUUUGACACAAUUGAAGCUGUAUUUGGUGCAUAUGGUCCAGUCAAGGGAGUCUAUCUCGCCGAUGAAAGUGGCACUAGAGUUAUUGUGUCAUAUCAUGAAGAGAAGUCUGCAGAGUCUGCCUUGAAGGCUUUGAAUAGACGUGCAUGUCCUGAGCUCGGAGGCCGGUCUUUGCACAUUCAGUAUUCUGUACACUCUAUUUGUCAGGUGAAAUAUCUUUAUCCACAUCAAUGUCUUGAAUAUCAUGAAGAGAAGUCUGCGGAGUCUGCCUUGAAGGCUUUGAAUAGACGUGCAUGUCCUGAGCUCGGAGGCCGGUCUUUGCACAUUCAGUAUUCUGUACACUCUGUUUGUCAGGU
rnacentral:lncRNA from 1 species